AGUGAACGCUGGCGGUAGGCCUAACACAUGCAAGUCGAACGGCAGCACAGUAAGAGCUUGCUCUUACGGGUGGCGAGUGGCGGACGGGUGAGGAAUACAUCGGAAUCUACUUUUUCGUGGGGGAUAACGUAGGGAAACUUACGCUAAUACCGCAUACGACCUACGGGUGAAAGCAGGGGAUCUUCGGACCUUGCGCGAUUGAAUGAGCCGAUGUCGGAUUAGCUAGUUGGCGGGGUAAAGGCCCACCAAGGCGACGAUCCGUAGCUGGUCUGAGAGGAUGGUCAGGCCAAACUGAAACGAGAACCCGGUCCGACUCCCUCGGGGGGGAGGCGGUGGGAAUAUUGGGAAAAGGGCGGCAACCCGGACCCGGCAAAACGGGGGGGGUAAAGAGGGCCUUCGGGUGUUAAACCCUUUUUGUGGGAAAGAAAAGCAGCAGGUUAAUACCCCGCUGUUCUGACGGUACCCAAAGAAUAAGCACCGGCUAACUUCGUG
rnacentral:rRNA from 1 species